AUUGAACGCUGGCGGCAGGCCUAACACAUGCAAGUCGAGCGAGCGGCGGACGGGUGAGUAAUGUCUGGGAAACUGCCUGAUGGAGGGGGAUAACUACUGGAAACGGUCGCUAAUACCGCAUACCAUCAGAUGUGCCCAGAUGGGAUUAGCUAGUAGGUGGGGUAACGGCUCACCUAGGCGACGAUCCCUAGCUGGUCUGAGAGGAUGACCAGCAACACUGGAACUGAGCAACGGGCCAGACUCCUACGGGAGGCAGAAGUGGGGAAUAUUGCACAAUGGGCGAAAGCCUGAUGCAGCCAUGCGGCGUGUGUGAAGAAGGCCUUCGGGUUGUAAAGCACUUUCAGCGGGGAGGCGUGACCCGCAGAAGAAGCACCGGCUAAGUCAGUGCCAGCAGCCGCGGUAAUAC
rnacentral:rRNA from 1 species